rnacentral:lncRNA from 1 species
AUUGGAUUAAAAGGAAUUAUACAACAGUUACAUAUGGUGUAAUAUGAAAGAUAAUAGAAAUAGUGCAUUAUUGUAACAUUUAAUUACAUGGGAUAGCUCUUCAACUUCGUUCAUUGCUCAUUGUAGAUUUGGUUCCUGUUUGAUUCGUGCCUCAUUAAUGAGUCUAAUGUAGACGAUACGCGUGUCUAACCCCCUAAUUAUUUAGCCUGAUAUCUUUGAUUAGUUUUAAUAUUUUAUGUAACUACUAAAUAAGUCCCUUUGUAAAAUUUAAAUCCACCCUAACUGCUAGCUUAAAAGGAUUUUAAAAGUUCAAUCAGAAUCUUCUGUUAUACCUAUCAUUGUCAUAGUAUAGUUUCACAGAAGAGGAACAUUAGCAGUGCACUACAUAAAGGCAACAGUAGUAUACCGCUGUUCUAAACUCGUAAAUCCAUGGACAAAAAACUAAAUCGGGAUAACAAACUAAAACUGAG